rnacentral:tRNA from 2 species
CAUUAGGUGGCUGAAAGUAAGCAAUGGUCUCUUAAACCACUUUAUAGUAAAUUAACACUUACUUCUAAUG